AUCUGCCAGAGAUCUGGUUGAGCUUUAUCCAUGGCUUACAUCCAGACAUGAGCUUUUGAAAGAAUUCCAGCGCCUUGAUCCAAAUACAGAUUCAAAUGACCUCGUUGAAUUGCUCACAGAAGGGCUUCAAAAAUACAGGAAGGGCAUUGUUGGCAUAAUGAAGGCAAAGCAGAAACCAGAUUGAUGAGGCAGCCAGACAUUAUAGAACUGAAGGACAGAGAAAUUAUGCUGAUGAUUGUAUGGCCCUUGCUUGUAUGGCUGUGUUGUUUAAAGAACAGGCUGAAACCUUGUUUGUUUAAGAAAAUGCAGAAAAUCAAACGCCGAUGGCUAUUAAAGUACACACCCAUAUUAUGACAAUGGAUACAGAUGCUUUCAGUGGCUUUGCAGGGGAUACUGAAGUGUUCAAAUGCGAUUCUUUUUUUGAAGCAUACAGUGGCCUAUUAGCAUGUAUUUAUGUGUUGAACUUGGCAUACCCUAAAGAUCUGGAAAAGUCAUUCCUCUUUGUUCAAAACAUCUUGUUAGGGUUAAAAGACAAUGAAGCAAACACAAUAGACACACGUAUUGUAAAUGUGCUUCCUAUGGUCAAUGGAGAACUUAAAAAAAGACAAUAGGUCAAUACGUUUUAGAUACUGUUAUAUACCAGUAUCAUGCAUAUGUGAGACAUUCAUCUUUUACCAUACCUAUGUUUUUAUGCCAACAAUAGAAAACUGUGAAAAUUUAAACUGUAAAUAUUAAAGAGGAAGUAGGUACGAAAAUCACAUUUUUUGUAAAGGUUUUUGUACAUUAAUUAUAUAUUAUAAGGAAUGUGUACUUCAUGGUCACAUGUGAUGAAUAAUGAUAAAUUUAACCAUUGCUUAACAUUUAUAAUUAUUUUUUGUUUAAAUCCACAUGUUUAUACAUUUCACAGGGUUAUCUUAUUCAUAUGCUCUAAUAAUUUAGUUUAAAAUGGUAGCUUAGUGCCCUUUUCAAGAAUGACCUUUCAAUAUUAAAAUAAACUUUUGUGUCAACUUAUUCAUUCACG